rnacentral:rRNA from 1 species
GACCCCAGGUCAGGCGGGAUUACCCGCUGAG